GGGCCCGCACAAGCGGUGGAGCAUGUGGUUUAAUUCGAUGAUACGCGAGGAACCUUACCAGGGCUUAAAUGCAGAACGACAGGGGUGGAAACACCCUCUUCUUCGGACGGUCUGCAAGGUGCUGCAUGGUUGUCGUCAGCUCGUGCUGUGAAGUGUCGGGUUAAGUCCCAUAACGAGCGCAACCCCUAUUUCUAGUUGCCAGCGGUUCGGCCGGGGACUCUAGAAAAACUGCCAGCGUAAGCUGUGAGGAAGGUGGGGAUGACGUCAAAUCAUCACGGCCCUUACGUCCUGGGCUACACACGUGCUACAAUGGUAGGGACAGAGGGCAGCUAUCCCGCGAGGGAAUGCAAAUCUCGAAAGUCUAUCUCAGUUCGGAUUGGAGUCUGCAACUCGACUCUAUGAAGCUGGAAUCGCUAGUAA
rnacentral:rRNA from 1 species